rnacentral:rRNA from 1 species
GCAUACUGCCGUGAAUACGUUCCCGGGCCUUGUACACACCGCCCGUCACACCAUGAGAGUUGGGAAUACCCGAAGCCUGUGAGCUAACAUUUAUGAGGCAGCAGUCGAAGGUAGAAUCAAUGAUUGGGGUGAAGUCGUAACAAGGUAAC